rnacentral:rRNA from 2 species
AGAGUUUGAUCCUGGCUCAGGAUGAACGCUGGCGGUCUGCUUAACACAUGCAAGUCGAACGCAUCUUUCGGGGUGAGUGGCGGACGGGUGAGUAACGCGUGAGAAUCUGCCUAGAGGUCGGGGACAACCAUUGGAAACGAUGGCUAAUACCGGAUAUGCCUUACGGGGUGAAAGAUUAAUUGCCUUUAGAAGAGCUCGCGUCUGAUUAGCUAGUUGGUAGGGUAAAAGCCUACCAAGGCAUCGAUCAGUAGCUGGUCUGAGAGGAUGAUCAGCCACAUUGGGACUGAGACACGGCCCAAACUCCUACGGGAGGCAGCAGUGGGGAAUAUUGAACAAUGGGCGCAAGCCUGAUCCAGCCAUGCCGCGUGAGUGAUGAAGGCCUUAGGGUUGUAAAGCUCUUUCGGCGGGGACGAUAAUGACGGUACCCGCAGAAGAAGCCCCGGCUAACUUCGUGCCAGCAGCCGCGGUAAUACGAAGGGGGCUAGCGUUGUUCGGAAUCACUGGGCGUAAAGGGCGCGUAGGCGGCUUGAUAAGUCGGGGGUGAAAGCCUGUGGCUCAACCACAGAAUUGCCUUCGAUACUGUCUGGCUUGAGACCGGAAGAGGUAAGUGGAACUGCGAGUGUAGAGGUGAAAUUCGUAGAUAUUCGCAAGAACACCAGUGGCGAAGGCGGCUUACUGGUCCGGUUCUGACGCUGAGGCGCGAAAGCGUGGGGAGCAAACAGGAUUAGAUACCCCCGUAGUCC